AAAGGCGCUUUCGGGUGUCGCUGAUGGAUGGACCCGCGGUGCAUUAGCUAGUUGGUGAGGUAACGGCUCACCAAGGCCACGAUGCAUAGCCGACCUGAGAGGGUGAUCGGCCACAUUGGGACUGAGACACGGCCCAAACUCCUACGGGAGGCAGCAGUAGGGAAUCUUCGGCAAUGGACGAAAGUCUGACCGAGCAACGCCGCGUGAGUGAAGAAGGUUUUCGGAUCGUAAAACUCUGUUGUUAGAGAAGAACAAGGAUGAGAGUAACUGUUCAUCCCUUGACGGUAUCUAACCAGAAAGCCACGGCUAACUACGUGCCAGCAGCCGCGGUAAUACGUAGGUGGCAAGCGUUGUCCGGAUUUAUUGGGCGUAAAGCGAGCGCAGGCGGUUUCUUAAGUCUGAUGUGAAAGCCCCCGGCUCAACCGGGGAGGGUCAUUGGAAACUGGGAGACUUGAGUGCAGAAGAGGAGAGUGGAAUUCCAUGUGUAGCGGUGAAAUGCGUAGAUAUAUGGAGGAACACCAGUGGCGAAGGCGGCUCUCUGGUCUGUAACUGACGCUGAGGCUCGAAAGCGUGGGGAGCAAACAGGAUUAGAUACCCUGGUAGUCCACGCCGUAAACGAUGAGUGCUAAGUGUUGGAGGGUUUCCGCCCUUCAGUGCUGCAGCUAACGCAUUAAGCACUCCGCCUGGGGAGUACG
rnacentral:rRNA from 1 species